rnacentral:rRNA from 1 species
UACGUAGGGUGCGAGCGUUAAUCGGAAUCACUGGGCUUAAAGCGUGUGUAGGCGGAUCGUUAAGUACCUUGUGAAAUCCCACGGCUCAACCGUGGAACUGCUGGGUAUACUGGCGGUCUUGAGCCACCUAGGGGCGAGCGGAACAAGCGGUGGAGCGGUGAAAUGCGUAGAUAUCGCUUGGAACGCCAACGGUGAAAACAGCUCGCUGGGGGUGUGCUGACGCUGAGACACGAAAGCCAGGGGAGCGAACGGG